UAGAAAGAACAGUAAUCACUAUCAUCGUUGGUGCCAUUUCUUGAGCUUAUUGGCUAGUGCUAAAUAAUAUGCCAACUGCUUUAAAUGCAUUGUCUCUUUCAAUCCUCACAACUCUAAAACAUUACAAUUGUCCUCAUUUUAAUGUUGAAGAACCUGAGGCUUAGAUUUAAUAACCUGCCCCAGUCUCAUGGUGGAUGGAUUCAAAAAGUUUCACUCUAAAACCUGUGGGGCAUUCUUCUGUGUUACUGCCUCCUAAAUUAGCCGCAUGAACACUGGAUUAAAAGAACAACAUUACUAAUCCUAGUUGGAACUAGAUAGUGAAGACAAGAUAACAAUUAUGCCACAAAACACAAAAGAACAAUCAGGACAUUUAUUAAUGAAAGCACUAUUUAUGACUGCAUAGGGAAGGGAUAGUUAGCAUAUGUUUUUAGCCCCAACUGUAAUUGAUAUUGUGUGAAAGCAUUGAAUGUGACUAAGUUGCAGCUUCAAGAAAUAUAAAAUAAAAAAUUCGACUCUAGUCUCUCUUAAUGUCAGGCGCCAAUGACUGCAAUGAUUAAAUAGGUCUUAAUAUAGUCAAACAGUGUUUAGCAAUUAAAACAGAAUGUAACGAUUACCUUAAUUAAUGAAUUUCCUAUUAAUGUCUAUUUAUAAAACUCCAUAGUCUUUAGGCAAUUAUAGAAAUACUAAAUCUAAAUUAAGGGCAAACAUAAUUUGUUCAGACUUUCUUGAAUGAUAAUGCAUGUGUAGUACACCCUCAAGAAAAAUAAAGAGCCAUGUGAAUAAAUACAAAGACACAGUAGUAAUGCUUAAAGAAUCCUAAAUGAAAAAAAGGGGUAGCAGCUCAUCAAUCAAACCAGCUAAAUAAACUCCACUGCUCUGUGGAACAGCGUAAGUGAGGACCAGAUUAAUCUCCAUUCAGGGGAAAAUGAGGAUAGGCAAUAAUAACGCUCAUAUUUAUUGUUCAAUACAGAUAACAUUUUUCCAUUGCAAUUUCUGUGUUAAGACUGUUAGAGUAGGUAAAUUUAGCCCAUUUUGGGGAUGAAGAAAGUGAGCCUUAGGGAGGCUAAGUGAUUUGACAAAGAUCAUUCAGCCAUUAAUGACAGGCAUGAUAUUUUAUUUACUAGAUUUUUUUCCUUGAAAGUGAAAGAGGAGGAGAAAGUAAAAAAAAAACAGCUAUAACAGUUCUGCUUUUAGUUUAAUGGGACUGUCCAUCAGUAGAAAUUCUGAAAAUCUAACAGAUGGGUCAAAAUGGUUAGUUUUGCUGGAUAACUUCUUUUUGGGACCAAAUAUGUCAGUGAGAGUCACAUGAAGCAGCCAUUGCUUGCUCCUUCAUUGGUGUUACAAUAACAUUAUGUACAAAAUUCAUUUAGCAUUUUUCCAGACUCCUGUAUUUGUCUGAUCCUCCAGUGUUGAAGGCCCACCUAGUGCAUGGAAAGAGUUUAUUACUAUUUUUUUCCAUCAGAAUGAUUGGCAAUCAGCCAAAAGUCUAAAGGAAACUCCCAUGUAGAAAUUACACACAGCAGCAUGAAUAAACAAGCAUGUUUUAUGUGAAAAAAGAGGGAACUGGUAGUGUAAUAUGUAAUCAUUAAAAAAACUCAUGCAAAGACCAAAAAUGUUUUACUCUAAUCUAUGCUAUAAUUUAAAUGCAAAACUAUCUUAACUGUGAAGGUCAAGUUCUAUUUUCACUUAUGAUGUAGAAACCUGCAAGAGAACACCACUCAUGAUGUAACAAUGAGAACAAGACAGAUAACCUACAAAAUCAUAAAUUUUUGGAACACAUCAAAUAGCUGAGGUCACAAGGCAAAUUGGCAAACUGAAAUCCAGGAGGUGACAGCCCCCUUGAGAAGAAUAGUAUACAUGGAUUUGUAGACCUUUGCCAGAGCACAGGUUGAAGUGGCCACCAUAGAAUCAGAUUACUGAAGUCUACAUCUUGCAAAUUUGAGUAGCACUCCAAGGCUUCAGCAAAGUGGACACUGGUCUCUUGCCACCCAAGCUCUACAGCAAGAGGGAAAGAAAAUAUAAGCACUUUUUCAUGGAGGAGGCUAUCAGAAGUUGAAAUCAUACUAACUCAAGCAAUGUGCAUUUUGAGAAGAAUGGCUUGCAACAGGGCUGAUGUGCUGUUCAUUAUUCCUGAGUGCAAGAAGACUAUGAUGUGCCCUGUAGAGAAAAUUCCUGUGUUAGGUCUCAAGUCUGCAUACGGACAUUUUUCUGGCUUCUCUUAAAAUGUAUGGGCUCAUAGAAUGAUCCUGGAAGAAAUCAUUUGGUCCAGCAGAAACCAAUUGGAGGUGAUGCCUGCAAGAUAGUGAAGAUCAGAAUGGAAAUAGACAUGUGAUCUGCCCAACAGUUGCAACCUUUGUGCUCCUUGCACAGACUAAAUAACAGGCCAGAUUUCUUAGGUAAAAGCUGGAAUUAAAUUUCCCAGUGCCAUGGCUAAUUAUUUCAUUCCAGUUAGUUCUGAUUUAUGAAGUACGUAUAUAUAAUACAUAUCCACAUGUGCUAUGUAUCUUAUGACUAAUUAGAAGGUGAAACACAAAUUAAACACUAUUUCCUAAAUACAAUUUUCCUACUGAAGAAAGUCUUUGAAAAAGUGAAUCAUAUAGAUGAAAAAAAUUAAUAAUAUUUUUCUUUAGUAACAAAAUAUAUAUGAACAGUUAAUUUAGUCUGUAUUCUUUAUUUCCUUAAAUAAAAGUUUAAAACCCAAAAAGGUAAAAUUAGGCCUUAAAAUCAUACAAAAAGCUAUUGGAAGAGCCAGGCUUGGAUCCUAGGUCUCUUGGUCUCCUAGUGCUUUGAGAUAUGUAUACAAAUAUUUUUCCAUAAACCUUAUUGUAUCUUUGUUAAGCAUAUUAUAAUUUCAAAACAAGUUCAAAACUGGCUUUUAAUCUAUGAAAAACAAAAUAAAUAAGUAAAUAGAAAUGGAUCCAUGAUGUACUGUGAGGAAAGGGAGGCUCUCCACGUCCCUGGA